GAGCCCGUGAAUUCGGACGACGGAAUUCAGAAUCGUGGGCGCUCACGCGCUCGCGGUUUGAUAUUUCCGUCGUCGCGCGAACGUCGCGACCUGUCCGAUGUCGGCCCACGUUCGGAGGAACCGCGAUCGAGUUCGCUGCGCGAGCGCGUUUCGGCGUGCUCGACGCGGUGAAGACGCGGACUUCUGGCCGACUCGUCGGACAGUAUGCGGAGCGGCGAACGGCGCCGUUACCUCGUGUACGCGGUGCGCCGUUGCCGGUCGGCGACGAUUUCUUCGGGCCUCUUUCCGACC
rnacentral:rRNA from 1 species